rnacentral:lncRNA from 1 species
GGGGGAAGUUGAUUGGGUCUAGACCAAAGAACUUUGAGGAACUUGCCCAGAGCCCUGCAUGCAUCAGACCUACAGCAGACAUUGCAGGCCUGAAGAAAGCACCUUUUCUGCUGCCAUGACAACCAUGCAAGGAAUGGAACAGGCCAUGCCAGGGGCUGGCCCUGGUGUGCCCCAGCUGGGAAACAUGGCUGUCAUACAUUCACAUCUGUGGAAAGGAUUGCAAGAGAAGUUCUUGAAGGGAGAACCCAAAGUCCUUGGGGUUGUGCAGAUUCUGACUGCCCUGAUGAGCCUUAGCAUGGGAAUAACAAUGAUGUGUAUGGCAUCUAAUACUUAUGGAAGUAACCCUAUUUCCGUGUAUAUCGGGUACACAAUUUGGGGGUCAGUAAUGUUUAUUAUUUCAGGAUCCUUGUCAAUUGCAGCAGGAAUUAGAACUACAAAAGGCCUGGUGAGGUCUGGAUGGCAUGGUGCUCCUCCUAAGUGUGCUGGAAUUCUGCAUUGCUGUGUCCCUCUCUGCCUUUGGAUGUAAAGUGCUCUGUUGUACCCCUGGUGGGGUUGUGUUAAUUCUGCCAUCACAUUCUCACAUGGCAGAAACAGCAUCUCCCACACCACUUAAUGAGGUUUGAGGCCACCAAAAGAUCAACAGACAAAUGCUCCAGAAAUCUAUGCUGACUGUGACACAAGAGCCUCACAUGAGAAAUUACCAGUAUCCAACUUCGAUACUGAUAGACUUGUUGAUAUUAUUAUUAUAUGUAAUCCAAUUAUGAACUGUGUGUGUAUAGAGAGAUAAUAAAUUCAAAAUUAUGUUCUCAUUUUUUUCCCUGGAACUCAAUAACUCAUUUCACUGGCUCUUUAUCGAGAGUACUAGAAGUUAAAUUAAUAAAUAAUGCAUUUAAUGAGGCAACA